AAUGCUCAUCAAGAAUCUCAGAGUAAUUUGGAUGAGGCAGGACCGAAAUGUGACUAUAAUUUAAAUGAGUGUAACUGUCAACACUUGCAUUUAAUCAGAAUCUCUCGUGAUGCUUUUUAGAAUUUACAGAUGUCGGGGUCCUCCCCUCAAUCUGCUGAACUGAUUUAUCUGGUGCCCAGGAAGUGGAUUUUCACAAAGCACAAGUAAUCCAAACGUGUGCCUCUAGUUAAGAACCAUGGCCAGAAACAAAGGACCUCAGAAGCAAAAUGCAUACCUAGUGGAUGGAUCUUGGUUUCUAAAUGUCACAGCCCCGAGAAAAUGAACCCUGUCCACCAGGAACCAUGAUCUUGGACUUCUCCCCUCCAGAACUGUGAGACAAUAAAUUUGUUUUCUGAGCCGCCCAA